CCUCUGGUAGUCUAGUGGUUAAGACGCUGAGCUUCCAAUGCAGGGGGUGUGGGUUUGAUCCCUGGUCAGGGAA
rfam:Ovis aries breed Texel chromosome 1, whole genome shotgun sequence.